rnacentral:lncRNA from 12 species
CUCAAUGGGAGUGAGCAGAGAUUGUCAGAGCAUUUGGGAAUUUCCACUGCCCAGGCAGGUGACAGCUGAGCUGGGACAGUGGCUCUUCCAUGUUGUCCGAUUUACUCUUAAAUGCACAAGAUUGGCAGAAAAGAAAUAAAUAAACAUGUGGUUUUCCCUCUUGUAGGUCUACUCACUGGAUUACUCACUCACAAGGGCUUUAUCUCUGGAGGUAUGACUGGAAUUUUUUAGGUGUGAGUCUGUGAACUCCAGCUUUGAUGUUUCCCCUGGAAGAGCUUGCGGUGAAAGAAAAGCAAAUUCCAUGCACCUCCUCUAGGUUCUGGUGGCCUGUGCUGGCAGAGAGGUCCUUUUUCAAAGAGAUGAAGGUCUGUCUGCAAGCACUGGAGGUGGAAGCAUUGAUAAUCUCCUGAUGCCAUGGACCUAAAGGCCUAACACAUAAUCACUGCCUCUCUGCUGUGGCUUUAGCAGCAGCGCGUGUGGGCCCCAACUAUGGUAAGUCCCUAGGCUUAGGCAAUGAAUAAUUCAUUAUAAAAAGACAAAUUGGCCUAAUUCUG